rnacentral:tRNA from 1 species
GCCUGGGUGGCUCAGUCGGUUGAGCAUCUGACUUCGGCUCAGGUCAUGAUCUCGCGGUCUGUGAGUUCGAGCCCCGCAUCGGGCU